ensembl:lncRNA
GGGAGGGGAGGGGAGAGAGAGAGGGGGGAGGGGGGUGCUUGCGGUCUGUGUUGAGUGUCAACACGGUGGCCAGCUGGAGAGGUGAGGCGAGAGCCGUGCGUUGAGGCUGAGCAGGCGGGCUCUGGAGGACCGGAGAGUAGCUCCACCGGAGGCUAGGCAGUGGAGCUCAGGUGGGGCAGAGGAAGGCUGCAGGCAGCCCGGACUGGGACUGUGUGAGACCGGGGGAGGCAGCCCGGACGGGGACUGUGUGUGGACGGUGUAGGGUGAGGACUGUCUGGAGGUUCAGGCACGAGGAAAGCUGUAGGCCGCCUGGCUCGGACUGUUUGUGUGAACGGUGUAGGUUGAGGACUGUGUGUGUGAACGGUGUAGGUUGAGGACUGUGUGUGUGAACGGUGUAGGUUGAGGACUGUGUGUGUGAACGGUGUAGGUUGAUGACAGUGUGUGUGAACGGUGUAGGUUGAGGACUGUGUGUGUGGACCUGCAGGUGGAGGACUGUGUGUGUGGACCUACAGGAUGAGGGCUGUGUGUGUGGACGGUGUAGGUCCGGGUUAUGAAUGCUGGAGUUGAAGGCCAGAGCAGAGCUCCACACUAAGGCUGCCACAGAGGUAGAGAGACGCUGUGGACGGUGCAGGGAGAGAGGGGAGGGAGAGGCGGCAGAGGAGGAAGAGGAGGGAGAGAGGAAGAGGAGGGAGAGAGGGAGAGGAGGCAGAGGGAAAGAGGAAGAGGAGGGAGAGGAGGGAGAAAGGAAGAGGAAGGAGAGAGGAAGAGGAGGGAGAGGAGGGAGAGGAGGCAGAAGAGGGAGAGAGGAAAAGGAGGGAGAGAGGAAGAGGAGGGAGAGGCGGCAGAGGAGGGAGAGGAGGCAGAGGGAGAGAGGAAGAGGAGGCAGAGGGAGAGAGGAAGAGGAGGGAGAGGAGGGAGAGAGGAAUAGGAGGGAGAGAGGAGAGGAGGGAG